rnacentral:rRNA from 1 species
GACGAACGCUGGCGGCGUGCUUAACACAUGCAAGUCGAACGCUGAAGCUCAGCUUUUGUUGGGUGGAUGAGUGGCGAACGGGUGAGUAACACGUGAGUAACCUGCCCCCUUCUUUGGGAUAACGCCCGGAAACGGGUGCUAAUACUGGAUAUUCACUGGUCUUCGCAUGGGGGUUGGUGGAAAGGGUUUUUCUGGUGGGGGAUGGGCUCGCGGCCUAUCAGCUUGUUGGUGGGGUGAUGGCCUACCAAGGCUUUGACGGGUAGCCGGCCUGGGAGGGUGACCGGUCACAUUGGGACUGAGAUACGGCCCAGACUCCUACGGGAGGCAGCAGUGGAGAAUAUUGAACAAUGGGCGAAAGCCUGAUGCAGCGACGCGGCGUGAGGGAUGGAGGCCUUCGGGUUGUGAACCUCUUUCGCUCAUGGUCAAGCCGCAACAAUGGUUGUGGUGAGGGUAGUGGGUAAAGAAGCGCCGGCUAACUACGUG